AAGUGGCGCCCGCACAGGGACCUGAGUGCGUGAGGCAUUUCGGAAGAUUUCAGGGAGGCAGACUCUCCGCGGUGGCUCCCGGAGCGCUUGGUUCGACAUUAUCAUGCCAUCACCAAUAAACACCCUGACUCGAAGAAUGCGUCGCCUGAGGCUCUCGCAAUCGACCACAGCACACCCCAACCGGUUCCCCCGGCGGACGAGAAGAAUGCGGCGACGGAGUAGGAGAGAACUUGUCAGGGAGGCGAGGGGAGAUCGAAAUCAAAUUACUUGACUGUUCCUAGACGAGAAGAUUUAUCCACCUUUGUAUUUUGGUAUAAGGAUAACGUUCCCAUUCACAUGAAUGCUAGAGUAACUAAGCUUGCUUCUAAUACUUCGUUGGAUCAUUCUCUAUGCAUAUAUCGCUUGAGGAUUGAAG